rnacentral:rRNA from 1 species
GGCUCAGGAUGAACGCUAGCGGCAGGCUUAAUACAUGCAAGUCGUGGGGCAGCGCAGUGUAGCAAUACAUGGGCGGCGACCGGCAAACGGGUGCGGAACACGUACACAACCUUCCUACAAGUGGGAAUAGCCCAGAGAAAUUUGGAUUAAUACCCCGUAACAUAUAAAGAUGGCAUCAUUUUUAUAUUAUAGCUACGGCGCUUGUUGAUGGGUGUGCGGCUGAUUAGGUAGUUGGCGGGGUAAUGGCCCACCAAGCCUGCGAUCAGUAGCUGAUGUGAGAGCAUGAUCAGCCACACGGGCACUGAGACACGGGCCCGACUCCUACGGGAGGCAGCAGUAAGGAAUAUUGGACAAUGGGCGCAAGCCUGAUCCAGCCAUGCCGCGUGAAGGAUUAAGGUCCUCUGGAUUGUAAACUUCUUUUAUAAGGGACGAAAAAGGGAAUUCUUUCUCACUUGACGGUACCUUAUGAAUAAGCACCGGCUAACUCCGUG